GUGGGGAAUAUUGCACAAUGGGCGAAAGCCUGAUGCAGCAACGCCGCGUGAGGGACGACGGCCUUCGGGUUGUAAACCUCUUUUAGUAGGGAAGAAGCGAAAGUGACGGUACCCGCAGAAAAAGCACCGGCUAACUACGUGCCAGCAGCCGCGGUAAUACGUAGGGUGCAAGCGUUAUCCGGAAUUAUUGGGCGUAAAGAGCUCGUAGGCGGUCUGUCGCGUCUGCUGUGAAAACUGGAGGCUCAACCUCCAGCCUGCAGUGGGUACGGGCAGACUAGAGUGCGGUAGGGGAGAUUGGAAUUCCUGGUGUAGCGGUGGAAUGCGCAGAUAUCAGGAGGAACACCGAUGGCGAAGGCAGAUCUCUGGGCCGUAACUGACGCUGAGGAGCGAAAGCGUGGGGAGCGAACAGGAUUAGAUACCCCGGUAGUCC
rnacentral:rRNA from 1 species